CAUACACAGUUUGACCUGCCCCUAUGGAAAGAGUUAAACUAGUAAUUUUGCUAGAUCCAAGACAAUGGUACCCCUUGACCCCCCCCCCUCUCGUCAGCCCUGUCAUGUAAACUGAUCAGAUAAUCAAAAUUAAAAUUAAAUUGAUUAUUCAAAAUUAGUGUUUCUGAUCAGCUAUUUAAAUAAUCAAAACUUUGCCACCAAACUUGCUUGCCCCAUCUUUGCUAUGUUAGAGUUACUAAAGUUAUCUGCCACUAUCACUAAUGUUUAACUGCUGAUUAGAGGGAAGGCAAACUUUCUGGCAGCACUUGCUGUCAACCUUUUUUUUUUUUUCUUGUGAGUGGAUGGAAGAAUGCUGUAUUGGUCAAUGGCAAUCAAUUGAUUGAUUAGCAAAUAUCACUAAUCGCUCAGCUCAACUGAACCGUGUUGUUCUUCUUUAUAAGUAGUGUUGUAUUGCUUUAGAAUUAAAUUGAGUAAUGUGUACUUAAAUGAAAAGACAGUACCUUUAUCAGUUUCUUUAUAAAAUUACAUUAAAUACCAAUGGAGGAGAAAGUGUAAUUACAAUUAUACAUGUAAGAAAAAUAUUCAGAGUCCUUUACAAACACAAAAUACAAGCUAAGAAUUUUUGAAAUAUACGAACUAAAAAUAAUAUUUACAUAUACCCAUACAUGAAAGAAGUAUGUAUAGAGCUUUAAAUAAGCAGUCAGAAAGAAAUCUUGAAAGCAAAGGGUAUAUUUGAAAUAUAUUUGAAGAUUUCAACAAAUGGAGAAAGUAGAGUUUAAUAAUUCACCAAAGAGCAUGAAUGAUCUGUUGUAUUAGCAACUCUCACUGUUUAGUAAUUUAAAGAGGAAUAGGAAAUUAAGUGGAAAACAACUUAAAAUAUUUAAAAGAACUUGUAACAAAGAGAUGUCAAAUGGUAUACAAAAAUAGAUUGUCUAGUGAUUAACAUGUUAAGUUCACAACUAAGGCCAGUCUGUUGUAAGUGUAUUUUUUUCAUGCUAUCUUUUUGCUGUAUUUAAAAAAUAAUUUCUAUUCCUCAAGGUUCACAGUUUCUUGAAGUAGAAGGUCUCCCAGAUGGGAUGAAACGUUAUGAUGUAGAACGAUACUUAGAGCCAGUGACUGCACUAGGGGCCAAGAUAGAGUUUGUUUGUACUAACAGUAGUAAAUCAAAGCCAAUGGGGAAUGACAACAUCACUAAAACUAAAUAUCAAGUGUUAGCAAUAUUUGAAUCUAGCACAGCAGCCCAGACUGCCCUUUUAAAAAUCAAAACAAACAAAUUUCAGCUUCGACAACGUGGGAAGGAAAUCAGUUUCAAGACUUUAAGUUAACCCUGGAAUUAUACCUACACUAUUCCAUACAAACUAUUUUUUUAAGUGAACCAUUUGAUAUCCACUUAUUCAUAGAAUAAGAAAAUUUCUCUCUUCACACAACUUAUUGUCAAUCAGCAACUUUCUUGUCAUCUCGUGCUGAGAUUAGUAAGGAAGUUUUUAGUUCAUUUUUGAUGACUUAUCGUAGAAAGACUUUAAUUUUCCCUUUAUCAAGACAUGUUUCCGAUGAUGUAGUCAUAAUUUUUUUUUGCAACCUUGUGGCCUUGCUGGUAAACUUCUGACAUCCUGCCUUGUUGCAAGAGUUUAGUUUCUGUGAUUAUAAAUCCUGUGUUAGUCUUGUUCAUAAACAGUAUUGUUGUUCUACAAUAGUGUUUAAUUGAUUUGGUAAGGGAUACAGUAUGGAAGCUGGUCUGUUGGGUGAUAUACUGUAGUGAAGUUUUCGUUUGUUUCUUUUUUUUUUCACUGUUUUUGAUAAGAAUCAGUGAUGUUAGAAAAAAUAAAUUGAAAUGUUAAAUUAUGUGACUUUCUUGUCUUAGAAUGAAGUCAGUGUUAUAUAAUAUGCAAAAUCAAUUUCAGUAGUAGCAUCUCUUAAUGAUUCAUUGCUAGUACUACCUAAUCUACCAAACCCAACCAAAAAUUAAAUUUAUACAAAAUACACAUAAUUACCAAAUCUGAAAGUUUCCAUAAGAAAGACUGAAUAUUUAGCAGCAAUAAACUGAAAAUAAGUUUUAUUUUUGAGGAACUUUAACUGAUGCAGUCAGUAAAGGAAGCAUGUAUUACACUACUAACUAGUCUUGUGUAACUUGUGUGGCUCAGUGAGGUUUCCUGGCUUUGUUAAAUACUUGUUAGUCCAACACACAUAAGCAAAGAAAAGAUGUUCAAAUCUUUUGGGUAUACAGUGAUUACAUUACAUUGUUUACAAAUAAUCAUUAAUGAAUAUUAGAGAAUUGAUAUUUUAUUGGGCAUUCUGGAAACACAUUAUUGUUUAAAAGAAUGAUAUAGAUGAUAAUAUUUUGUAUAUUAAAAUUGAUAGUGAUACAGACAGCUCUUGUUUUAUUCCUCUUCUGGGGAAGACAUUAACGAAAAAACUUAUAAGUUAUUUUCAAUUAGUGAUCACGUCUUGGGGUUAAAUAUGUUUGAAAAAAUUUACAAGAUGUUGCAUACAUUAAUUGCUAACACAAACUAUUUCUAUUUGUGGUGCUCCCUGGUAGCAGUGUAAGAAGCAUUAUAGAUGUAUUUGGUACAUUAAUUUAAAUGUCAGCUUGUAUGAAGUUUUAAAAAAAAACAAAAUGAAACAUUAAAAUAUAUGUACAAGUUUUAAACUCAUUGAUACUUGUUUUCCAUAUCAGUGAAUAAUCUCCACACUUAUUCACAUACUUAUGAUGCAUUUCAAUAAACUAGUAGUUAGUUAAAAUGGUAGGUGAAUUAGAAAUAAAUUUUGUUUUUCACAUCAUUUGGUGAUAAAAUAUAGAAACUAAUGACAUGUGAAAAGCUGCCUUUAUUAAAUCUAUCUUUAUAGAAAGUUUUAUAAUGUUCUGAUGAAUCAGUCACACUAUAUUUAAAUUUAGAAAUAUUCUAAUGUCCCCUCGAAGCAAGUUAACAAAUUUUCCUAUCAACAAGUAGAAUAACUCGCAAGUUCUGAUAUACUUGUAUGAAAAACCAAUUAAGGAAUGCCUUCUGUUACUUGAUUUUAUAUAAAAGGUAUUAGUUAUUUGGUAAUUCCUAUUGUUCUGCCAUUUAUAUACCAUUCAACUAAAAUGAAUGGUGAAAAUUCAAAUUUUUUCAGGCAUCUACAAUUUCCAAUGUAAUUUAAAUAAUAUUAUCAAAAUACAUACUUUGCUAGAACUUUGUAAAUAGUAUCUUCAAGAGGAUUUAAGCUAUGAGAGUCUGUAAACCAGUGAUUUAAAAGAAGUAAAUGAAGAAUAAUAAUAACCUUCAAAAUCACCUAAUAAAUUUUAUAUUUUGUAGCCUCUUUAUCAUCUUUGACUUAGCUUUCAAGUGCCCAUUUUAACACCAUGAAAUGUGGUUGUACAGAUUUACCAGGAAGCAAAAUCAGAGAACUGUAAAUUAACUAUUUAACCUCUAGGUUGUCAAUUGCUAUUGCAAUGACAAAUGUAAACUUUCCUGUAUACUAGAUAUCCAUUAAAUCUCUUUAUACUUACUGGUGGGUAUGGUUAUACUACAGGUCCUAAAUAUACAUCGAGGUGGAAACAUAUCAUCCAACAGAAGUGUAAGCUCCACUGAUAACCCUCAAAGUUUGAUUGAGAAAGGAAGUAAGUCACAGGUUCUUGAAGUGGAAGGC